rfam:Capsicum annuum cultivar Zunla-1 unplaced genomic scaffold scaffold9, whole genome shotgun sequence
GUGUUAAUAGAAAGGAUAGACGGUUGGCAUAUUCCCCGACAAGAAUUGGAACACCUUUCGGGCUUUACUUGUGUCUAUAUUUAGACGCAUUCUAUUAAGGAUAACCACCUGGGUGGAUCUAACCGAAUUUUCUU